rnacentral:rRNA from 1 species
UUGAACGCUGGCGGCAGGCCUAACACCUGCAAGUCGAGCGGAUGAAGGGAGCUUGCUCCUGGCUUCAGCGGCGGACGGGUGAGUAAUGCCUAGGAAUCUGCCUGGUAGUGGGGGAUAACGUCCGGAAACGGGCGCUAAUACCGCAUACGUCCUGAGGGAGAAAGUGGGGGAUCUUCGGACCUCACGCUAUCAGAUGAGCCUAGGUCGGAUUAGCUAGUUGGUGGGGUAAAGGCCUACCAAGGCGACGAUCCGUAACUGGUCUGAGAGGAUGAUCAGUCACACUGGAACUGAGACACGGUCCAGACUCCUACGGGAGGCAGCAGUGGGGAAUAUUGGACAAUGGGCGAAAGCCUGAUCCAGCCAUGCCGCGUGUGUGAAGAAGGUCUUCGGAUUGUAAAGCACUUUAAGUUGGGAGGAAGGGCAGUAAGUUAAUACCUUGCUGUUUUGACGUUACCAACAGAAUAAGCACCGGCUAACUUCGUG